AUUGAACGCUAGCGGGAUGCUUUACACAUGCAAGUCGAACGGAGUGGCGGACGGGUGAGUAAUGUCUCGGAACGUGCCCGGUGGCGGGGGAUAACUACUGGAAAGGGUGGCUAAUACCGCAUACUAUUAGAGCGGCCCAUAUCGGAUUAGCUAGUUGGUGGGGUAAAGGCUCACCAAGGCGACGAUCCGUAGCUGGUUUGAGAGGACGACCAGCCACACUGGAACUGAGACACGGCCCAGACUCCUACGGGAGGCAGCAGUGGGGAAUUUUGGACAAUGGGGGAAAGCCUGAUCCAGCCAUCCCGCGUGUAUGAUGAAGGCCUUCGGGUUGUAAAGUACUUUCGGCAGAGAAGCGGUAUCUGCAGAAGAAGCACCGGCUAACUACGUGCCAGCAGCCGCGGUAAUUC
rnacentral:rRNA from 1 species